GUCGCUGCGCUCCUUUUGGUUUGCGUAGGAGGUGGGAGCAGUGUUUUCCCGUGUUGUGCUGCCCGUGCUGCGGCAGGGAGCUGGGAGAGAAUCAUGGGCGAGACGGGAAGCCACGGCAUGAAUGCAGUGACCUAUGAUGAUGUGCAUGUUGACUUCACUUGGGAAGAGUGGACAUUGCUGGAUCCUUCCCAGAGGAAUCUCUACAAAGAUGUGAUGCUGGAGACCUACAGGAACCUCACUAUCAUAGGAUACAGUUGGGAAAACCAUAAUCCUGAAGAACAUUGUCAAAGUUCUCAAAGACAUGGAAGGUCUGAAAGAAGUCAUACUGGAGAUAAUCCUGUCUAUGUUCAAUGUAUUAAUGCCUUUGCAUAUGACAGUCAUCUUCAAAGGCAUGAAAAUAUAUAUAUUGGAGAGAAACCCUAUCAAUGCAAUCAAUGUGGUAAAGCCUUUGCACGUAAUAAAAAUCUUCAAAUACAUAAAAGAACACAUACUGGCGAGAAACCCUAUAAAUGUCAUCAAUGUGGUAAAGCCUUUGUACGAUACAAUCAUCUCCAAACGCAUAAAAGAACACAUACUGGAGAGAAACCCUAUGAAUGUAUUCAAUGUGGUAAAACCUUUGCACAGCAAAGUCAUCUUCAAAUGCAUGAAAGAACACAUACUGGAGAGAAACCGUAUGAAUGUAAUCAAUGUGGUAAAACCUUUGCUUAUUCCCAUGUUCUUCAAAUGCAUAAAAGAACACAUACUGGAGAGAGACCCUAUGAAUGUAAUCAAUGUGGUAAAACCUUUGCACGUCACAAUAAUCUUCAGAUGCAUACAAGAACACAUACUGGAGAGAAGCCCUAUGAAUGUUAUCUAUGUUCUAAAGCUUUUGUACAACAAGGUCAUCUCCAAAUACAUGAAAGAACACAUACUGGAGAGAAGCCCUAUAAAUGUAAUGAAUGUGGUAAAGCCUUUGCUUAUCACAAUGCUCUUAAAACGCAUAUAAGAAUUCACACCGGAGAGAAACCCUAUGAAUGUAAUGAAUGUGGUAAAGCCUUUGCUCAUCACAGUCAUCUCCGAGUACAUAAAAGAACACACACUGGAGAGAAACCCUAUGAAUGUAAGGAAUGUGGUAAAGCCUUUGCACAACACAGUGUUCUCCAAACACAUAAAAGAAGACAUACUGGAGAGAAACCCUAUUUAUGUAAUCGUUGUGGUAAAUUCUUUGCGCAUCAUAGUGGUCUUCAAAUGCAUGAAAGAACACAUACUGGAGAGAAACCCUAUGUAUGUAAUGUGUGUGGUAAAGACUUUGCAUAUAUAAGCAAUCUUCGAAAUCAUCAGAAAAAGGAACAUUGCAGAGAAACCAUAAAAAUAAAGUCAGUGUAACAAAGUUUUACACUUUAAAGGAGUAAAAUAUUUUGUGUGCCUUUGCUAAUUACAAUAGUUUUUGAGUACCUGAAAAAAAUCUGAGGGUGUAUUGUUAUAAAGAAUUUGGUAAGUUCCUAAUCCAACACACUUACAUACAUUUAUUCAAGACUAUUCAAGACUAUAGAGAAAAAUUGAAUGGUGUCAACAAUGUUUUCAAAAUUCAAGAUGUCCAUUUUGUAUUAUUUGCCUCUGCAAACUCAUGGGAAAAUUGAAUUUAUGGAGCCCUAUAUGUAGGGUAAAAGGGCCAGCCAAAGAAUACACUCAAUCCUGAACCAGAGCCAGUGAAAGACACACACGUUGGCUUUGAAACCAAAGCCAAAGAAAUACAUUCUUCCCCUGACCUACUGAACAUGAAACCAACCAAUCUCUGAUAACUGAAACCAACCAGUCUUUGAGGAUAGAACUAACCAGCAACUGAGCUUGAAAUCUAGCCAGUCUGCCAGCUCAGGGGUUGAAACCUGACCAGUUUCCACCCUGAAAAUCUCGCUGCUCAAUCUCUGUCCAUAAGAGGCCCCGUAUAGCCCUGUGCCUUUUUAGUUGGCAUCUGCCCUUUACAGCCUCCUACAGCUCUCACUUCCAAAUACAUUUCUUCAGCGAGUUUAGGGUGACGAACGAUCUUUCGGCAGAUCAGGGUCAAAUCCUUUCUGCAAAUCUCCCUGGUGGAGCAGAGCUUAGGAGCAAUGGACGUUUCUGGUGGGAAACCCCAAGUGGAUCAGAGCCGAGAAGGAAGUGACAUACCUGCUGGGAAACUCCACUGGGGGAGUGGAGCAGAUUUGGAAACAUUUCACCGGAGUCAUAGCAGACGGAUACUUAUCUUAGUUGAGUGAAGCAAAGAAGUAACAGUUGGCCAGAGCUGAGAAGAAAUGGACGUCUCUGCUGGGUAACUCCGUAGUGUCAGAGUAGAGAAGUGACGGGCAUCUCUGCUGGGAUCCUAGUGGAGCAGAGAAGAGAAGAGAUGGACAGCUCUUCUAGGAAACUCCCUUAGGGGAGCAGCAAUUGUCUUCGCUGCUGGGAAGCUCUCUUAGCAAAGAGGAGUGGAGCCCAGGUAGAAUGGCUCUCAGAGGAACAAGAUUGCCAGAUCCUGCUGGGACACAUUCUCCCACCGGAAGACAACUUCAGUAAGAUAUAUCUGCUCCUGGCCACACCAAUCUACUUCAAAGAAGAUAACGGACACUGAAGAAGCUCCACAAGGAGUUGACUUUUUUGUGACAAAAGUUAGCCACUGGGCAAGAAAGUGCUCUUGCCUCAACUGCUAGCAAUAUGCUGUCCAGAUUGGAAAAGCAAGACACACAAAGAAAGGACUGCUGAACCUUUCCAAGACGAGGUAGGAUAGCCCUUUAGAAUAUCCUACUCCACAGAAAAGUCUGUCACUUACACUAGUCAGGAUAGGCUGAAGGUGGAUGCCCCAAUGUUGCAGAGGAACAUUGAUUUUUUUGGGGGGGGGGAUUGCCUAUCCAGGCAGCCAGCUGUUUCUGUCAUUUCUCACAUCUUUUGGAUGUUGCUUCCUUGCACUUCCUGCUUGCUUGGGUAUUAGUAUCCCCUUCUCAGGUCUCUCAAGGAAUUGAAGGCUUUAUAGUUAUAGUUUUCCUUGUUACCAGGGUCAGCGAAGAAAUUCUCUAAAAGGUAUAAAGUGUAUAAGGUUGAGAGACAUUAAAACAUAGUCUUGGUAAUGCAAGUUAGAAAAGAAAGUCAAUUAGGUACAACCUUUUGGACUCAUCAAGAUAGGAUAAAUAUAGAGUAUUUUCUCUGAAUUUGUCAGUUAAUGGACUAGACAUCAUUAAUGUAUUUAUUGCCUGUAUAUAUUAUAUAUAGUUAUUGUACUUAUUGUAUAUAGUUUUUCUUACAUGAUAACCCACUUUUAUAUUUUAGACCAAAAAAAAGGGAAAUCUGAUGAUAUUUCUUUGUACUCUAACAAAUAAAGCUUGCGUGAAGGUCUGAAGUCGGAACUAGUCACUAGUUAACCAUAGAGAUCUGGAGGUCUGUACAGACAGACAGGAAGUGAUAUGGCUGGGCGAAGAGAAUAUAAGGUGGGAAGAGAGAGAACAUCAGCCCUUAUCAGCUGAAGAGUUGGCAAGAUAAGAGUUGGUUGUGGCUUGCUUUUUUCUCUCUCGGAUAUUUCAGCAGUUGCUCCAAUAUAUGAGUUCAGGCUUUUAUUAUUCGGACCAAUUAGAACUCGUGCAACACUCAACUUGAAGGGUUCCCUUCCUUAGUUGGUUUUUUUUUGGGAAUUUGAGGGAUUUCAUAAGAAGCCAUCGCAUUAGUGCAGUUCUUUAGCGGGGCACAGUAUCUCCCCACAGUGAUGGGGAAAGGGAGGGGAGAAAGACAGACACUUCCCGCAUGCUUCUCACUCGGUUUCAUGUUUCAUGUAGUCAGCUCUCAGAGAUGCUAGCUGAGAAUGAAGCUGUUAGCACAUGACAAUUGGAUACAUCAUAUUCCAAAUACAAUAUACAUUCAUAGUGUCUACACAUAAAAUAAUACAAAUGUGAACUAUGGAUAUAAUUUUCAUCUGUCAGUUAAAAUUAAUUUAAAAACCAAACUAACAUUCUUUCACAGAGUGUUCAUGUGUGUUGGCUUGAAAGAAAGUGGCCCCCACAGGGAGUGGCGCCACUGUUAGGCGUUCAUUUCACACGGGGAUCCUACCCUCCUGUACCAGCUCUUUUCUACCUGUAGCAAAUCCGUCUUUCCUUUCAUUCAGUACCGGCAACUGGGUAUGUAAUGUGGGCAUCAGAGAGCGAGAAGCAGCCCUCUCACCCAGCACACGUCAAUUUUUCCUUUCUUCUUAUUUUACUUAACUUCUGUUUAAUAUAUGGCUGUGUGUAUACAUAUGGCUUUUGAUUUAACCCUCUAUGUGUGAAUAUAAUCUACCUUUAAUUCUGUAUAUAUGUAUGUGUGUGUGUGUAACUUAAAUUCAACUGUGAAUAUAUAUUCAUAUAAUUAC